AGCACGGUGCAAGACUCCAAUAAUUUCAUGGACCUAGUUCUUGAGCAACACCUUCCACGCUUGGUCAUGGGAAACCACGACCUCUACCCCGGGACUCCGAUUCCAGAUUUCCACUUCAAGAUACUGAAGACAAGGAUCACCAACCGGGACUUAAAGGCUAACAUAACCGAAGGUUCGAUCCAUGGUUUCGACAACGGUGUCCACCGUUUGGGCAACUGCGAACAGCCUAUUCUGCUCAAUGGAAAUACUACCGUCAACUGCGUGCUGAACAUGACUGGCAUCGGGCGACUCUGACUGCAACGACAAAGGGGGACAGCUUGGUAGGAACGAUCAAGACCAUCUGGGUGAACGUGACGCUUAAGAAGGAAACCGUGCUGAGGGUGGCUGUUACCGCGCAGCAUCCGAAGCCGGCCUCCCUGAUGACUUUCUUCAUGGAAAAGCUCAAGCUGAAGACGAAGUAUGAUGACCACCUUAGUCUCAACGACGAUCGUGAAGAGCAGUUCGAAGAGCUGAUCGAGGAGAAGGUCAGGGACAUACUCAUUUCUACUAUCUACAACCAGUACAAGGCCAUGUUCGAGAUAGCCGUCAACAUGGCGACGCCAGCGUUCCCACGCGCUUGAAUGAGUUCCAGUUCCACGGUUUCGCAU